rnacentral:lncRNA from 1 species
CUGGAGUGCAGUGGCACGAUCUCAGCUCACUGCAGCCCUGCCUCCUGGGUUCAAGCGAUUCUUCUGCCUGAGCCUCCUGAGUAGCUGGGAGUACAGGCGCACGCCAGCACACCCAGCUAAUUUUUGUAUUUUUAGUAGAGACGGGGUUUCACCAUAUAGGCGAGGCUGGUCUCAAACUCCUGACCUCGUGAUCCGUCCGCCUCGGCCUCCCAAAGUCCUGGGAUUACAGGCAUGAGCCACCACGCCCGGCCUCAUUCUUGUUCUUUUGGCUUUUUUCUACAAGUGACAAUCAGCCAGACCCUCUUUCAGCUACAGGAAGAGUUUGAUAAAGAGAAUGCCUGAGCUCAAUCUUGUGUGUUUUAAGGAAACAGAAAAAAAGGGAAAAGAAAAAGUCUUUUCCUGCCUUGUACCUCUGUCUAACUAAAAAGAGAGGCAGCUUCCUCACAGAAAAAUAUCACUGAUCUUAAAACUGAAUUCAAAGAACUGAAGAAGGAAGUUUCUAGUGUUUCACUUCUGUGGAUUUGGCCCAGAAAAAUCCACAGAGAAGGUGUUAAAGUCAGGUAAUUUAUCCUGCAUCCCUUAGAAAGCCCUAGAGCCAAUCAAAACUCUCCCCAAAGGGCUGAAAUCAGGCUCUGAGGGUUGUGGGAGUGACAGAGCCAUGUAAGCUCUCUGGAUUCACAGGUUUAGGUCACUGCUGAUGGAUUCAAUUACUAUGGGAGGACAUUUCAUGCUGUCUAAUUUUCAUUCAAUUGGAUGAUUCUCCCAAAUCCUUCGUUCUUUACCAUAAGUUUACUCAUUAUUUUAGCUUUACCUCAAGGCACUUUCCCCUGGGAAUUUUUCUGAGACCAGUGUGAGUUAGGUGUACUUCCUGUGUUUUGAUUUGUCAUACUAAAAAUCUUACAAGUAUGAAUUUCUACAUGAAAUAAAGGUAAGAUCUUAAUCUUAACAAUCUAGGUCUUAGAUUUCACGGUAUGGGCAUUAAACAAGUGUUUAUUUCUGUAUAGCCUUUUUGAUGAGUACCCAGCAAUCCCACUUCUACGAAUGUCUAUCAGUGAAAUUCCAGCUUAGCUCUGUAGUGGCUUCAUAGAAUCCAGUCAUUGCAGCAAUUUCAGGCAGCAGAGAGUUGGGGCAACCUGCAUGUCCAUCACCAGAAUGAGUAAGUACUGCAGUGAAUACAAGUUUGUGUGAAGUUUCAUGCUCUGCAGGAGUCACAACUAAUGAAGCAGAGGUACAUGUAUACCAAAAACAGGUGGAUUUUUCAGUGCAAAGUAAAAUCUAAGAAACAAAAUGUAUAUCAGGAUGUAUAGUACAAUACCAAAAUUAAAAUUACAGAGUUACACAAAAUACAGUGGGUGAGGCAGUAGCUGAAUGACUAAUGCCAGAGGGAAUGGUGGCAAAUUGUGUGAAGAGGGGAAGAAACUAAGUUAAAUUAUCUGAUUGGCACACUUGCCACCUCUUGGAAGACACCUGAUUACACUCAGUCCCCUGCCCUCUUGCUGGCCAGGAAGAUAAUUGGUCACAGGUGGCCCCCUGACCCCACCUCACUCCACAGUUUCUUAUGGCAAAGCGUUUCCUUGACAGAAAAUGCUAAAUGUCGCCAAAGCCCCUCCCUUGGGGUCCUGGUUUCUAAAAAGUCUUUUUUUCUGUAAUCAAGAGGUUAAUGUUUGGGUGUGUUGGAAGGAUACAGAAAAAGGCAUAGCACAGUAUGGACAAUGGUCUUGAAAUAAAAUUCCUCCUUAUUCUGCCUGAAAUUUCCUGACAUGAUGACAUGGUAUUUAUGAGGAUGUGGGUCACUGGGCGAAAGCCUUCCUUGGUCUUGAAUCAUGGAUUUUGGGUAUUGUUGGUUUUGGUGAAUGGAAUAUAUAAGGAAAGAAAAAAAGGGCCACAAAUAUGAAAAUGCUCUAAAAGAAACAAUAAUUUCACAAUACUGAACGUGAGCCAUUCAGGAAAUGUCCAUUUUAAAUUUUAAAGAUAGCUCCUGGGUGAACGGUGGUUUUUGUAAUGCAGUGGUUGUCACGUGUGCCACCCACGCGAAAUGGAAACUGGGCAGAAAUAUCUCCUUAUGGGUCUCUCUCUCUCCCUCUCUCGCUCUCUACUUCAGCUUGGGUAAUUUGUUUCACUAAACUCAACUCAAGCUCUCUUAAACCCAGGUCUGGUGCUUAAAACAAUAUGUCUUUAUUCCCUUACAGGUCUAGGGGUCAGAAAUCUGCAAUCAGUUUCGGUGGACCAAAAUGAAAAUGUCAAACAGGGUGUCUGACACCCUCCAGAAGCACCAGAGGAGAAGCAGCUUUCCUUGGCCUUCCCAGCCAAAUCUCCCUCUGCCUCUCUCCCCUGGUGACGACAAUGGCUGGGGUCUUGACUUGCCAAGGUAACUCGUUGGGGAGCAGAGAGUGGGAUCCGCAGUGUUCUGGUGGCUGUUGGGAUCUGGGCGCGAGGAAGGAGAGUGGCUCUCAUGAUUCUCUGCAUUCUCAGUGCAGCGUGGCCCGUACUGGUCACCUGGGUAUAGCUUUACUGAAUUUCGCAGAUCUGGAAACGGAGAAGGGACUGGAUCUCCAAACUUGGACUGCCUUGGACUGACCCUGGCCUGGAAGGUGUGGGCUCAGGACUCCGAGCUCAAGUCAGUCUGUUCCCCCAACCCCUAACCCACUGCAUCCGGGUGAGGAGUUGGGCCCGAGCGCCACAGCGCAGAUAGGGUUGUUAGGAGCGAAAGACUGGAGACCCAGGGACUGUGGGGCUGGGCUGGUGGGGCCACUGCUACCGACUAAGCAGUACGGGCCGCCUGGAAGACCGAAGGCGGAGUUCGCUGAUGCGGAAGCCAAGGCACAGGGCAAUAAGGAUCCGCGCCAUUUCUUGUGAUGUCACCUGAAGCCUUGGCGGGUAGCUGCCUCUCAUCCAUUCGGAGGACAGGGCUCCAGCCACCGGCAGCUCUGAAAGAGUUUGAAGAAUUUAUUGUUCACAGAUGGUAUUUAAAUGGACUUAUUUCUAAAAGUCACAUUCCUUUAUUACUUAUUUGUUAUUAGAAGUACCCAUUUUCAUAUGUGUUUAAAACUAUUUGUGUCUCAAAUUCUCAGGAGAUUGAUGCAUCCCAGUUUACUCUUUUUGGCAUAUGUUUUUACUCAUAAAUUAGGUUAAAUUUCAUACUUGUUUUAUAAAAUUUAGUUAUUU